GGGGAACUGAAACAUCUAAGUACCCCGAGGAAAAGAAAUCAACCGAGAUUCCCCCAGUAGCGGCGAGCGAACGGGGAGGAGCCCAGAGCCUGAAUCAGCAUGUGUGUUAGUGGAAGCGUCUGGAAAGGCGCGCGAUACAGGGUGACAGCCCCGUACACAAAAGCGCAUGUGCUGUGAGCUCGAUGAGUAGGGCGGGACACGUGGUAUCCUGUCUGAAUAUGGGGGGACCAUCCUCCAAGGCUAAAUACUCCUGACUGACCGAUAGUGAACCAGUACCGUGAGGGAAAGGCGAAAAGAACCCCGGCGAGGGGAGUGAAAAAGAACCUGAAACCGUGUACGUACAAGCAGUGGGAGCCCCACCACUAAGCCAGUGGUGAACUCCACAUACGCAUCCUUUGCUGAGGAUACGGUUAACGGAGCGAAAGCGACGUUCAACCGCAAAAGAAGCAGAGGGGGCUUAGUGGUGGGGUGACUGCGUACCUUUUGUAUAAUGGGUCAGCGACUUAUAUUCUGUAGCAAGGUUAACCGUAUAGGGGAGCCGUAGGGAAACCGAGUCUUAACCGGGCGUUAAGUUGCAGGGUAUAGACCCGAAACCCGGUGAUCUAGCCAUGGGCAGGUUGAAGGUUGGGUAACACUAACUGGAGGACCGAACCGACUAAUGUUGAAAAAUUAGCGGAUGACCUGUGGCU
rnacentral:rRNA from 1 species